GACGAACGCUGGCGGCGUGCUUAACACAUGCAAGUCGAGCGGUAAGGCCCUUUCGGGGGUACACGAGCGGCGAACGGGUGAGUAACACGUGGGUGACCUGCCCUCAGCUCUGGGAUAAGCCUGGGAAACCGGGUCUAAUACUGGAUAUGUCUCCAUGACGCAUGUUGUGGGGUGGAAAGCCUUGUGCGGCUGAGGAUGGGCCCGCGGCCUAUCAGCUUGUUGGUGGGGUGANGGCCUACCAAGGCGACGACGGGUAGCCGGCCUGAGAGGGCGACCGGCCACACUGGGACUGAGACACGGCCCAGACUCCUACGGGAGGCAGCAGUGGGGAAUCUUGCGCAAUGGGCGAAAGCCUGACGCAGCGACGCCGCGUGAGGGAUGACGGCCUGGUGU
rnacentral:rRNA from 1 species